UCCUACCUUCUCUUCUCCACCAAUUCCCAGAAACUGUUGACAAGAGGAAGUGGGUCACCUUAAUUUCCCUUAUUUUCCUCUUCAGCUCUGUUCAUUCCAGGGAAAUCUUUCAUUGAGAUGCGUAGUGAGAUUGCAAAGCCAUAUAGACUUUUGGGUGAAGAGAAUGUGAAAGCCCUUAGGUAAUUAAAGAACUUUUCAUUAUCUCCCCUGUGAAGCCCUGAUAUCAUUUAUGACUGAAAGUAGGCACCCUACAUUUCCACAUGGAUACCAGGGAUGGAACCUGAACAUGCAAUUGUUAUCCCCAUUUUUUCAGAGUGUUGAUCACAUUUGCACAAUACCUCCAGAAAUACCCUUUUGAAGAUCACAUGAAAUUAGUGGGUGAGGUUACAGAAUUUGCAAAAGGCUGUGCUACUGAUGAGACAGCAGAAAAUUGUGACAAAUCCCUUAUGACCAGUGGAAGAAAACAGAGAUGGAACUAAGGACCCAAAAUUCAUGCAUCUGUUUUGUUUCCCUGUUGGUGUCAAAUCAAUAGAGUUAUGAAAACAUCAAUUUUGCCUCAAAAUUCUUAUUUUAUCCUUCCCCAGUGUUGCAAGAAAUAAUGAAGAAAAGCAUAAACAAUCA